rnacentral:lncRNA from 1 species
AGAGUUUUCCAGACAGAUCUUCAAAUUAAUGUGGUAGAGCCAGAAAAUACAGAGAGCGCAGCAAAUAUAAGGAAUCAAAUCCUAUUUAACCAGUAAGUUUGGAAAAUUGCUUUUUUGCACACCUUAAGAGCUGUGCUCUGAGGGAGGAAAGUUCCUUGCAUGAUACAACCAUCAAAAU